rnacentral:rRNA from 1 species
UACGGGGGGAGCAAGCGUUGUUCGGAUUUACUGGGCGUAAAGGGCGCGUAGGCGGUCGUGACAAGUCACUUGUGAAAUCUCCGGGCUUAACUCGGAAAGGUCAAGUGAUACUGUCGGACUAGAGUACAGAAGGGGCAACUGGAAUUCUCGGUGUAGCGGUGAAAUGCGUAGAUAUCGUAAGGAAGACCAGUGGCGAAGGCGGGUCUCUGGACAGUUCCUGACGCUGAGGCACGAAGGCCAGGGGAGCAAACGGG